rnacentral:tRNA from 1 species
CGGCCGGUGCUGCGGCUCGCGGACACCGCCCGGUUCCGGCUCGGGCUGCCGGCCGCGCCGGCCUCCGCGGAUCUGUUCGCACCGGUCGCC